UCUGUUAAUCGCAAAUAGAGGAUCACUGGCCAACAAAAUGGAACAACUGGAACUUCCAUAUCUAAGCAGAAAAACAUAAAGGACUGCUGCAUUAUGAU